rnacentral:rRNA from 1 species
GAUGAACGCUGGCGGCGUGCCUAAUACAUGCAAGUCGAGCGAACGGACGAGAAGCUUGCUUCUCUGAUGUUAGCGGCGGACGGGUGAGUAACACGUGGAUAACCUACCUAUAAGACUGGGAUAACUUCGGGAAACCGGAGCUAAUACCGGAUAAUAUUUUGAACCGCAUGGUUCAAAAGUGAAAGACGGUCUUGCUGUCACUUAUAGAUGGAUCCGCGCUGCAUUAGCUAGUUGGUAAGGUAACGGCUUACCAAGGCAACGAUGCAUAGCCGACCUGAGAGGGGGAUCGGCCACACUGGAACUGAGACACGGUCCAGACUCCUACGGGAGGCAGCAGUAGGGAAUCUUCCGCAAUGGGCGAAAGCCUGACGGAGCAACGCCGCGUGAGUGAUGAAGGUCUUCGGAUCGUAAAACUCUGUUAUUAGGGAAGAACAUAUGUGUAAGUAACUGUGCACAGCUUGACGGUACCUAAUCAGAAAGCCACGGCUAACAACGUG